UCUCUGUCCCUGAGACCCUAACUUGUGACGUUUAGUUUUUAAGUCCACGGGUUAGGCUCUUGGGAGCUGUG
rnacentral:pre_miRNA from 1 species